CUCAAAACCUCCUUUUCCUACUGUACUCACUAGCCUUCUCAGCCAGUUUGAGUUGGCGCAGGCGCGCGGAGCCCAAGACGCGUGCGCACUAAGGAAGUGGGGGGCUAAUCUUUUUCCCUUCUCUCAUCUCAGCUCGCGGCUCUCGGGCGUACGGUCAGCCGCCUGCUCAUUGGCUCAUCCGUUGUUAGAGCGUCUGGCUCGGGUCGACGGUUGAGGCCUAAAGUUCUGCGCAGGCGCAGAACGCGGCUAAGGUAAUAAGCCUCGCGCUCGUUCUGACGGGGCCUCAAGAAAAAGAAGGAAACCCGCCAAGCUCGCCGUUGCCAACGCGGUCGCCGCCGUCUCCUCCACCUCCUCCUCCGUGAGGGGAAAAGAGAAAAGAAGGGCCGAGGAAGACCUGGAACGGCCGCCUCCGCCAUCAUGAGUGUGGAAGCCUACGGGCCCAGUUCGCAGACGUUGACUUUCCUCGACACCGAGGAGGCCGAGCUGCUGGGCGCUGACACGCAAGGCUCCGAGUUCGAGUUCACCGACUUCACCUUGCCCAGCCAGACUCAAACGCCGCCCGGAGGAGGCUCCGGGAGCGGAGGAGGCGUCGUCGUGCCAGGGACCCCGGGACUCCCGGGGGGUGGCGUCGGAGUGGGCGCAGGGGGGGCGCCUUCCGUCGUCGCUCCGGGACAGCUGGAUGCCCAGGUAAAUGGACCAGAUGGCAUCCUCCAGAAUGGGGCAGUGGAUGAUAAUGUGCCUAAAACCAGCCAACUUCUUGCUGAGCUCAAUUUUGAAGAAGAUGAGGAAGACACUUAUUACACCAAGGACCUGCCUGUACAUGCCUGCAGCUAUUGUGGCAUCCAUGAUCCAGCUUGCGUGGUCUAUUGUAACACCAGCAAGAAGUGGUUCUGCAAUGGACGUGGGAAUACCUCUGGCAGUCACAUUGUGAACCAUCUUGUGAGAGCCAAGUGCAAAGAAGUGACUCUUCAUAAGGAUGGUCCUCUGGGCGAGACUGUCUUGGAAUGCUACAAUUGUGGCUGCCGUAAUGUGUUUCUUCUUGGCUUCAUCCCGGCCAAAGCUGACUCUGUGGUCGUUUUGUUAUGCAGGCAGCCUUGUGCCAGCCAGAGCAGCUUAAAGGACAUCAAUUGGGACAGCUCACAGUGGCAGCCUUUGAUUCAGGAUCGCUGCUUCCUUUCCUGGCUAGUCAAAAUUCCUUCAGAACAGGAACAACUGAGGGCCCGGCAGAUCACAGCUCAGCAAAUUAAUAAACUAGAAGAACUGUGGAAGGAGAACCCAUCUGCCACUUUGGAGGACCUGGAAAAGCCUGGGGUUGAUGAAGAGCCACAGCAUGUCCUCCUUAGAUAUGAAGAUGCUUAUCAAUACCAGAACAUCUUUGGUCCUCUGGUCAAGCUUGAAGCAGACUAUGACAAGAAAUUGAAGGAAUCUCAGACUCAAGACAACAUUACUGUGAGAUGGGAUCUUGGUUUGAACAAGAAAAGGAUUGCCUACUUCACCCUGCCAAAGACUGAUUCAGAUAUGCGUUUGAUGCAAGGGGAUGAGAUCUGCCUGAGAUACAAAGGAGACUUGGCCCCACUGUGGAAAGGAAUUGGCCAUGUGAUUAAAGUUCCUGAUACUUUCGUAGAUUACGGUGAUGAAAUUGCAAUUGAGUUGAGAAGUAGUGUUGGUGCUCCUGUGGAAGUGACUCACAAUUUCCAAGUGGAUUUUGUAUGGAAAUCAACAUCCUUUGAUAGAAUGCAGAGUGCCCUAAAAACAUUUGCUGUGGAUGAAACAUCAGUUUCUGGCUACAUCUAUCACAAACUUCUGGGUCAUGAGGUGGAAGACGUUAUAAUUAAAUGUCAGUUGCCAAAGCGCUUCACAGCACAAGGACUUCCAGAUCUCAACCAUUCUCAGGUGUAUGCAGUGAAGACUGUUUUGCAGCGUCCCUUGAGUCUUAUUCAGGGCCCCCCUGGCACAGGCAAGACUGUGACAUCAGCCACAAUUGUGUAUCACCUGGCAAGGCAAGGGAAUGGGCCUGUGCUGGUUUGUGCCCCAAGUAACAUUGCUGUGGACCAGCUGACCGAAAAAAUACAUCAGACGGGGCUGAAGGUGGUGCGUCUGUGUGCAAAGAGCCGCGAGGCCAUUGAUUCACCUGUCUCUUUCUUAGCACUGCAUAACCAGAUCAGGAAUAUGGAUAGCAUGCCAGAGCUCCAGAAACUGCAGCAACUGAAAGAUGAGACUGGGGAACUGUCAUCCGCUGAUGAGAAGCGCUACCGAGCACUUAAACGAACAGCUGAACGGGAAUUGCUAAUGAAUGCAGAUGUCAUUUGCUGCACAUGUGUUGGAGCUGGCGACCCAAGACUUGCUAAAAUGCAAUUUCGUUCCAUUUUGAUUGAUGAAAGCACACAGGCCACUGAGCCAGAGUGUAUGGUGCCUGUUGUUCUUGGGGCAAAACAGUUGAUCCUGGUGGGCGAUCAUUGCCAGCUUGGCCCUGUCGUAAUGUGCAAGAAGGCAGCUAAAGCAGGUCUGUCGCAGUCCCUCUUUGAGCGACUGGUGGUGUUGGGCAUUCGGCCCAUUCGCCUGCAAGUCCAGUACCGCAUGCACCCAGCCCUGAGUGCUUUUCCUUCCAACAUCUUUUACGAAGGGUCACUUCAGAAUGGUGUCACUGCAGCAGACCGUGUGAAGAAGGGGUUUGACUUCCAAUGGCCUCAGCCAGACAAGCCCAUGUUUUUCUACGUGACCCAAGGACAAGAAGAAAUUGCAAGUUCUGGCACUUCUUAUUUGAACAGAACAGAGGCAGCCAAUGUGGAGAAAAUAACCACAAAGCUACUGAAGGCUGGUGCAAAGCCAGAUCAGAUUGGCAUCAUCACCCCCUAUGAGGGCCAGCGUUCAUAUUUGGUGCAGUACAUGCAGUUUAGUGGAUCUUUGCAUACCAAGCUUUAUCAGGAAGUUGAAAUCGCUAGUGUUGAUGCUUUCCAAGGGCGAGAGAAGGACUUCAUUAUCCUCUCCUGUGUUAGAGCCAACGAGCAUCAAGGCAUUGGUUUCCUGAAUGAUCCCCGGCGUCUCAAUGUGGCUCUCACAAGAGCAAGAUAUGGGGUCAUUAUUGUUGGGAAUCCAAAGGCACUCUCCAAGCAACCUCUCUGGAAUCACCUUCUGAACUACUACAAGGAGCAAAAGGUCCUGGUGGAGGGACCAUUGAACAAUCUCCGUGAGAGCCUCAUGCAGUUCAGCAAACCCCGAAAACUGGUCAACACUAUCAAUCCAGGAGCCCGGUUUAUGACAACUGCUAUGUAUGAUGCCCGUGAAGCUAUUAUCCCUGGAUCCGUUUAUGAUCGCAGCAGCCAAGGCCGGCCAUCCAACAUGUAUUUCCAAACACACGAUCAGAUUGGGAUGAUCAGUGCUGGGCCCAGUCAUGUCACCACCAUGAACAUUCCUAUUCCAUUCAACUUGGUGAUGCCUCCCAUGCCACCACCAGGGUACUUUGGACAGCCCAAUGGACCAGCUGCAGGUGGGAUGUUUGCAGGACGUGGAAACCUGAAAGGCAAAACUGGCCGUGGUGGGCGACAGAAGAACCGUUUUGGGAUUCCGGGAGCCAGCCAGUCGAACCUCCCCAACAGCCAGGCCAGCCAAGAUGUGGUCUCCCAGCCUUUCUCUCAGGGCCCCUUGACUCAGGGUUACAUCUCCAUGAGCCAACCCUCACAGAUGAGCCAGCCUGGCCUCUCCCAGCCAGAAUUGUCACAGGAUAGUUACCUUGGUGAUGAGUUUAAAUCUCAGAUUGAUGUGGCCCUGUCGCAGGAUUCAACUUACCAGGGGGAACGCGCAUAUCAACAUGGAGUGACGGGGCUGUCACAGUAUUAGAGUGUUGAAGGAGAAGAGCUAAGCUUAUGUGGAGCUUAGUUCAACAGCAAUUUAUUCAGGGUAAUAAAAAUAAAAUAAAAUGGAUACCUGUUUUCCACUGCUAAAACUGAAGCGACUCUGUGAGAGCAACAGGAGAGAGAGGGAUAAAAAGAGAGAAACCAACGGAGAGGAGGAGAAAGAAGAGCGAGAGAGCGAAAGAGAAAGAAGAGAGCCCACUGCUAGCUCACUGAGGCAAGGAGACUGACCGGAGAUGGGAAGAGAAGCACCGGAGGACCAACUGGCACCUCACUGGGAGGGAGAACUAACUCGCCCUGGAAGAACUGAGUGGUCAGCGAAGUUCCCUGUCCCCUCCCCUGCCACCAACACACCCACUGAGAAAGAGAGGAAGGGUCUUAGAAGAAUCAUUUCAUUCCGUUCGUUCGUAUUGCAAGCAGGGUUUCACAGUUAGAACAGGUGGGGAAGAGGAAAAACCCCCAUCUCAGAGUUGUUCAUGUACCAAUCUCUCCGGGUUUUUUGUUUUCAAGAGAAGGAAAGAAAGAAAGGAAAGAAAGAAAAGAAGGAAAGAAAAGAAAGAAAAGAAGGAAGGAAGGCAGGAAGACCUUGUUGGCCUUUUUAGGAACAAGCACACCAUCCAAGAGAAAACGUCCUGAAGCUUGUGGGGAAGCCAGCUGUGACUGGUACUCGACUCUGAGAUGAUGUGGGUUUUGCUGUCCCAAGAUCUGGCUUUGAGCCCUGCGCGGCUUCACCCACAGUCCGAAUGGCAAGAUGAUGGGGUGGUUCUUUUUUUCUUUUUUCUUUUAAAAGAAAUUCUUUCAAAGAAGCACUGGAUAUUUUUUUUUUUAGAAGUUUGUCUCUGAAAUUUAGUAGUGGACCUGGAGGAAAAUCCUUGUUUUGAGAUGCUUAAAAAAAAAAGAACAAACGAAACCAUAAAAGAUACAUAUAUAUUAUCUAUAUCUGUACGUUUUAACGCAAGUAGGAAUACCAAUCUCUUGUGUGUGAUUUCAGUCAAUCAAACUCUUCUUCUUGGGGGGAGAGGCGUAUCUUUGCAAGGAACCCAAUGUAUCCUGCCAGUGCAGUGGAGAAAUGAGAACGGUGUUUGUCAAGUUUUAAUUGGUUCCUGCCUGGGCUCUUCUCUGGGCUGUUGGUUUAAGGUAUCUGCUUUACAGAAGGGAGAGGAGGAGCGUGUGCCCUUUGGCCCCUGAGGAGGAAGAACGCUGGGAUUGAUCUGCUUUUUUUUUUUAUUAGUUGCUGCCGACAUUGGGAAACCUGUAGUGGAAACAGGGGAUUAUAUUGGUUUUGAAGUAAAGCUUCUCUGAUGAUAUAUUGAGAUAGUUUGGGGAGGAAGAGCAGGCAGAUAUUUUAAGGGGUGGCCACUCUGGGGCAAAAAUCUAUCUUUGGCAUGGAGGGGUGUUAUUUUUUUUUCUUGACGUUCAGCUGCAGAAUGAGCAUCAGAAGUUUAAACAAAGCUGGAGACCACAUGAAGGUGCAGGACCCUGAGUCUGAUUUUAUCAUUUCAAAUCCCAACUGGAAAAAGGGGCAAUUUAUGAAGAAUGAAAGAAAAAACACCCACAAAGAAGUCACCCUGGCUCACAGCAGAAAAGCAUGCAUCUCUGCAUUAAAAAUAUUGAGACCGCCGGCCUCUUCAGCCUA